rnacentral:rRNA from 1 species
GACAGAGGGUGCAAACGUUGUUCGGAAUUACUGGGCGUAAAGCGCGUGUAGGCUGCUCGGAAAGUCGGAUGUGAAAGCCCUGGGCUCAACCUAGGAAGUGCAUUCGAAACUUCCGAGCUGGAGUUCUGGAGAGGAAGGCGGAAUUCUCGGUGUAGAGGUGAAAUUCGUAGAUAUCGGGAGGAACACCAGUGGCGAAGGCGGCGAUCUGGGCAGAUACUGACGCUGAGGUGCGAAAGCGUGGGGAGCAAACAGG